rnacentral:rRNA from 1 species
AUUGAACGCUGGCGGCAGGCCUAACACAUGCAAGUCGAGCGAGCGACGGACGGGUGAGUAAUGUCUGGGAAACUGACUGAUGGAGGGGGAUAACUACUGGAAACGGUAGCUAAUACCGCAUACCAUCAGAUGUGCCCAGAUGGGAUUAGCUAGAGGGUGGGGUAAUGGCUCACCUAGACGAAGAUCCCUAGCUGGUCUGAGAGGAUGAGCAGCCACACUGGAACUGAGACACGGUCCAGACUCCUACGGGAGGCAGCAGUGGGGAAUAUUGGACAAUGGGCGCAAGCCUGAUGCAGCCAUGCCGCGUGUGUGAAGAAGGCCUUCGGGUUGUAAAGCACUGUCAGCAGGGAGGCGUUACCCGCAGAAGAAGCACCGGCGAACUCCGUGCCAGCAGCCGCGGUAAUUC